UACAGAGGGGCAAGCGUUGUUCGGAAUUACUGGGCGAAAGGGCGCGUAGGCGGCCCGCUAAGUCGAACGUGAAAUCCCCGAGCUCAACUCGGGAACUGCGUCCGAUACUGGCGGGCUUGAAUCCGGGAGAGGGAUGCGGAAUUCCAGGUGUAGCGGUGAAAUGCGUAGAUAUCGUAAGGAAGACCAGUGGCGAAGGCGGGUCUCUGGACA
rnacentral:rRNA from 1 species